AUUGAACGCUGGCGGCAGGCCUAACACAUGCAAGUCGAGCGGAGCGGCGGACGGGUGAGUAAUGCCUAGGAAUCUGCCUGGUAGUGGGGGAUAACGUCCGGAAACGGGCGCUAAUACCGCAUACUAUAAGAUGAGGCACGGUCGGAUUAGCUAGUUGGUGGGGUAAAGGCCUACCAAGGCGACGAUCCGUAACUGGUCUGAGAGGAUGAUCAGUCACACUGGGACUGAGACACGGUCCAGACUCCUACGGGAGGCAGCAGUGGGGAAUAUUGGACAAUGUGCGAAAGCCUGAUCCAGCCAUGCCGCGUGUGUGAAGAAGGUCUUCGGAUUGUAAAGCACUUUAAUUUGAGAUGCGUUACCAACAGAAUAAGCGCCGGCUAACUUCGUGCCAGCAGCCGCGGUAAUUC
rnacentral:rRNA from 1 species